AAACUAAUUUAUUUUGGCGGCAUUUAAUCUAAUUAGAGGAAUUUGUCUAUUAAUCGAUAAUCCGCGUUAAAUUUUACUUUAAUCUAAAAUUUAUAUACCACCAUCUAAAGAAUUAAUUAAAAAAUAUUUUUCAAAAAAAGAAAUAAAAAGUUAGGUCAAGGUGUAAUUUAUAUUAAAGAAUAAGAUGAAUUACAUUAAAUACUAUUUAAAGAUUAUACAUUAAUAUAUUUAUAUAAAUAAGAAUUUAAAAGCAAUAUUAAAAUAAUAUUUUAAUAUGAUUUAGAUAGCAAAUGUGCACACAUCGCCC
rnacentral:rRNA from 1 species